rnacentral:rRNA from 1 species
UCAGAGGUGAAAGCCUGCAGCUCAACUGCAGAACUGCCAUUGAUACUGAUAUCCUUGAGUGUGGUUGAAGUGGGCGGAAUUUGUCGUGUAGCGGUGAAAUGCAUAGAUAUGACACAGAACACCAAUGGCGAAGGCAGCUCACUGGGCCAUUACUGACGCUGAGGGACGAAAGCGUGGGGAGCGAACAGGAUUAGAUACCCUGGUAGUCCACGCCGUAAACGAUGAUCACUCGUUGUUGGGGAUAUACUGUCCGUGACCAAGCGAAAGUGUUAAUUGAUCCACCUGGGGAGUACGAUCGCAAGAAUGAAACUCAAACGAAUUGACGG